AUAGGUUUUCAAGCAUGCAGAUUCAUUUUCUGCCACCGAAUACAUUAGCAUGGGAUAAUGGAAUAGGACCCUGUCCUCCUAUCUUCAGUUGGUUAACUUGUAGAGGAUCAGGGUAAUGAUUAAUAGGGAUAGUUGGGGGCAUUAAUAUUUAAUUGUCAGAGGUGAAAUUCUUGGAUUUAUGAAAGAUUAACUUCUGCGAAAGCAUCUGCCAAGGAUGUUUUCAUUAAUCAAGAACGAAAGUUAGGGGAUCGAAGACGAUCAGAUACCGUCGUAGUCUUAACCAUAAACGAUGCCGACCAGCGAUUAGGAGACGUUGAAUACAAAACACCACCAUGUAUAAUUCAGUAUAUGGCCAGUCAAAUGGUUGUAUAUUGUUUGUAUAUGGCACCGGUGAAUGACUCCCCUAGCACUUUUGUGAGAA
rnacentral:rRNA from 1 species